GUAUGCUGUUUUUUUGCAGCUACUUUGUUUUGGACGUAUUUUUGUCCUCUGUAGAUAAGUGUCAUCUAUUUUCUCCGGUUUCGCCCAAGUCCCCGUUCCAUGGCUUAAGUCGAUUUGCGGCUUGCAUUAUUACAAGUUGAACGUUUUGGUAGCGGUUGCUACAAAUUAAUAUUAACACAUUGGUAAUUUUUUGUGAAGGCUUUAAAUGACAUUUAUACUAUUUAAUCGAAGAAAAUUUAUCUAUUAAGUGAU
rnacentral:misc_RNA from 1 species